rnacentral:lncRNA from 1 species
UUCGGUGUGCAACCAAAUGUUGUAAUCUUCACAACUGUCAUUAGUGGGUGGUGCACUGCUGGAAAAAUGAAUCAUGCAGCCAGAGUUUAUGAGAAAAUGUGUGAAAUCGGCAUUACCCCCAAUUUGACUACUUAUGAGACACUGAUAUGGGGAUAUGGGGAAGCAAAACAGCCAUGGAAAGCUGAAGAACUCCUGCAGAUUAUGGAAGAGAAGGGUAUCUCUGCUGAGAGGAGCACCAUACAGCUAGUAGCGGAUGCUUGGCGUGCCAUCGGUUUACUAAAUGAAGCAAGAAGAAUCAUAAAAAAUGUAGAUCGAGGAAUUGCAUCGAAUACUAAAGAUGACAUACCGGCAGAGGGCAUGGAGAAGACGUACAAGAAACAAAGCCUAAGUGCUUCUUAUUCUAAUGUUUUGCAGAUGCCUGGGGUAGCCAUGAAUGAACAAAAUGGAUCAUCUAGUUCCAAAGCAAGAAGCCAAAUGGUGUUGAAGAAAUACGAUUCAUCAUCUCUGUUUCCUGCUCAAGCAAGUGUUUUUGGGGUGCAAC